GAUUUAGACAAUCAGACUGGAUUUUUUAAACUAUCAGAACUUCCUCUUGUCCCGCUCUCUUUGUUACAACUCUUUAAAGACACUGUGGCACCACCACUUGUGACCUUGUUGCCUUUGAAGUGGUUGUUUCAAAGAUGGGGGCCAGGUCUCUAGCUGCCAUCGUCAGCGCAACUUUGGUGCAUCGAGACAUCGAUAAAAAUGCAAUAUGACGAGUUGGUCUGCUAUCGAUCUGCUGCCAGUCUGUGACUGAAUGAGGCGUUUACAUGCAAUCUGUUUGUGAUCAGUGCAAAUCUGCUGCCAUCGACAGACACAGAAGUUCACAUGAAAUCCUUACAGUCGAACCUCAUUGAUUUGAAACAGAAAUUCAGAAAUUCCUUCACAAGUAGUGACGUAGUGACGAUUUAACUCCAGAAUGACGCGGGUGUAGGAGCUUAACCAGAAUGCAACCGCCACCAGAGAUGCAGAAUAUGUACGCCUAUCAGGACAGGCUGACUCGGGCUGAUUAACAUGUCUCUGUACAAGCCUUCACCAGUCAGUCUGAACCGGACUGCAAUUGUUUGGAGACAGGUGGCCUCCCAUAAGGAGGUUGCAGUCCCAGUUUUAGUCCAGUGUGACGGAGUCAUAGAAUUAAAUAUAGCAACUCAGGUUAGUCUUUACUGAGGUUCAGACAAGUGGGUCAAAGGGUGUUUUUCCAAUAAACUUGAUACAGCCGGCCUUUGUUUUGUAACCAGACUAGUUGCCCUCUGACUGACUGCCGUCAGAAAUAAAUUGGAUUUAAGGCGCUUCAGCACCUACGCCUGUUUUCAUAUGUAAUGAGUAGAAAACACUGGUAACAAGGAGCAAGCUUUAUUCAAAUAAAUAAGAACCUACUCAUCCAGAUGAUCUCAGAUUCACCUCUGCACUUACUUGGGUUCUCAGCAGUAGUUAGAAACUCUCUAUUAUUUUACUAAGAUAUAAAACAAUUGAGAAAAUAUGAUAAAUGGAAAAUAAGGGUUAAUUUCCCACCCAGUCCAAACUGCGUUAGCGUGUGAAAAACUCUGAGGGUGAAUCAACUUUAAUCCCAUUUGAUGUGUGGCAAAAUAGAGAAUAAGGUGCCUUCAGACAUAGUGAUGGUACAAUAUAAAUAAUAAUGUUCACAAAAGACCUCCAUGGAAUACAAAGACAGUUCAGCGUCUAAAUCAAUAAUAUAAUGAUUUGUGUCCAUUCAAAACAGCAAAUCGAAGCCAUUUACUGCAUUUUUUAAAAGUCUGGCUGAAGGACUGAGCCGCUCGUCGCCUUGUUCAUCCAACAAAGACACAAAGGAGCCUGAAACCUGGACCGAAUUUCAUUCGAAGGACUCGCUAACAUCUCACAGGACUGAAGUGCAGAACAUGUUUCCGUGUCACACCGAGUGAAAUCUUCUUGAACAAACUCAUUUUUACACAUUUUUGCACUUUGAGUUCAAAUCUACCAUGCCAGUAUUGAAGUGUAUUUCCUUUCUUCCUUUAAUCAGUCUCACCGGAUGUCAGGGCAGGAGGCCCGUGAUGGCUGGUAGAAAGUUCUUCCACCGCUUGAACGAUUUUACCAGCCAUUUGCAUUUUUUGACUAGAAAUGAAACUUUCAGUGUUGGUUGCUAGUCAGCCUCAUAUAAAUAUUUGCCAGAGUUUAACUGGUGGAUGAUGGGAAAUUCCUCUGAAUGCAAACAUUAACGACAUAUUUUUAGUCUCCCCGUGAUGACGUGAAUGCACCAACUGUAGAUAUUAACUGUACAGUGUGUUCUAUUUUCAGUGGGGCCAACAGCAUCAAUCUGUAACUGAGGUUCAGAAUUGUUUGAAUUAACAAAACGUGUGCUCUAAAAACCAAAGUUCAUCUGGGUUCUUCGGGCUAUUCGGGCUUCUUCGUGAGAACAGUAAAGCCCUUAGUGUGCGAGGUUUGUGGGAAUACAGUCACAUAUUGGAAUCGUUUGACGGCGUUCCUCAGGGAACCAUCUUGGGUUCCCUGUUGUUUUCAAUCUGAAGAACCCCUUUGACUUUUUAGAGCGUGCUACUGAUAUUAUUAUCAAUAUUGUUGUGUGGCAAGCUUCUACUAACAUACUGUACUCCUUGGGCUGUUUUGUACUUUUAGCAUUUUUAAUUUUGUUAUGUGCUUAUAAUGUGAGAUUUUAUUUCUUUUCUGAUUUGGGCAUCUUAUGGAAGUAUUCAAUCCUUUUUAAUUUUAAUAUAUUUAAAAAAAAACAAACAAUAAUGAUUUUCUGUAACUGACAUACAAGUUCUUCUAAUAUUUUGAUUAUAGACUGUGAUAAUUACUUUGACUCAACCCACAGCAUGCUCAAGCAAACACACGCCUGCACACUGAAUCAUCACAAAGCCUCUCUUCACUCUUUUAAUGGAAACAAGCAACACCUCUGCUAUCAAACAACAUUGAAAUUAACACUUCAUGUUGAGCUGCUAAGAAUUUUUGGACCGUAGGGCCAUAGCAUGCAUCUACAAUCACCUGCAGAAAGACUUUGUCUCUUUCUAAAGGCCUUACAGUGACCACGUCGACUCCAGACUAAAGCGGCAAACACCACAGAAACAUCAAAACAAAGUUCUCGAGGAACACUGGAUCAAACCUACCUCGUAAGGGAAUACACAGCAUUUCACUCAGUCUCAGUGCAUGCCCAAGCACAUCCUCAGUAAACAUCCCAUCUUAAAGCUCCAUACCCCUCGUUUGCAUGUUUAUGAACUUCAAACCGUAUUUACUUUGUGUUACGGCGCUACCAUGUCGAGAUUUCUUACCUUCCUGCGUCCACUGUUCGGUUUAAGUUUCACUUGCAUUGAACUUGACACUUGCUGCAGAUAAAUCAUCCAUCACUGGUAACAUCUAACAAGGAUCUAAGUCAGAGGUGUUAAAUGUAAGGCCCAGGGGCCAGACCAUUCCCACUGUAAUUACAUAAAAGAAACAGAGAAAUGAUUGUAAAGUUCCUGUUUUUUCACUUUCCGCUAUAGAAAUUUCAGUUGUUUGUUUGGGUUUGUUUUACAACAGGUCCACAGUAAAAAAAAAAAAAGAAAUUUUAAAAAGUAUAUAUAUAUAUAUUUAAUAUAUAUAUAUACUACAGGCUGAUUACUGUCUAUUCGCCCCAUGGCAGGCAUGACUGGAAACAGCCUAUAAUAGUUACACUGCUGGACUGCUGUGUCAAACUUCACCUGCACGUGUCAGAUUAGAUUUCUCUCGUGUUUGCUAGAUUUUGCCUCCACUGCCUUAAACUGUGUGCUUUCUAAAUUCUUUCUAAAUUGCCACUUGGUCACCCAAACUGUGAGAACCCCAGAUUUAGUCUUUGUGGACCAAAACAGUAACCGGUGACAUAUAAACGUCCUGGCUUCCUGGCGAGCCGUUGCCCACCAUGUGCCAAGUGUCUGUGGGUUAGGGUUAGGCCAAAAUCUGCUUCCUCGUGUUUCAAGGCCACUUUUUUUGUUAGUUCUUGGAUUGCUUUGCUGCCAUCGGAGGCCGUCGGUGCAACGUUUUUGUCAGGUCGCUGUCAAUUCUUACACGCAAGAGAUAAGAACAAAACUCACUGUGGUUGAUUAGUUAUCUGCAGCAGGAUUCAAGUGUCUGUGAAGACAUGAACUUGCAGUCUGGGAGGACACAAAUCUGCUUAAACCGCGUCGGGACUCUUGUGAAAGUAAUUUACAGUAUAUCCAGUUUAAGAACAUGCAGAAAAAAAGCAGGUAUGGUCCUUUAAACGCUUAAAUUAGGUCUUUUUCUCCUGCCCGGGUCUGCUCUCCACUAUCGGUUUGCAUGUGGUAUUUAUUACAGUAUCUGCACUGAAUGAAACUGUAUUAUAACAUGAAUGUACAUAGCAGCCGUUAAAUGAAAAUAACAUUGCGAGUACUCACUUUGCUCAGUUUGUCUGUGGCUGGGUUUACAUCGGGAAUGGAAGGUCUGAUGUUUUUUAAACACCUGGAGAAACAGAUCUGGUCUGACUGCAGCAGGCAAACAGGGAACAUUUUUCAAGAUUCAAAGCACAUCAGAUCUGCUUCAAGUACAGUUAAAAAAUGUUGGAUGAUUCUGUUCCUGUGUAAAGACAGUCUGUGUUUUGUGCAUCUAUACAAUGGCGUUGGACGGGGGGCGUGUCCAAGCUGCUGGACCGCUUUCUGGAGAGGACAUAUUUCUUGUUUAUAAUGUAGAGCAAAGAGAGACUGGAAUAGUCCUUGUAAAAUUGUACGAGUAAAGUGUCAAAUAUGUGUCAACAGAGACGACAUUAUUUUAAAAAUUACGUAUGGAAAAUUUUAGCUGUGUAUAUAAAUAUAUAUUACUUGUACUUUGUUUUUGAAAUUGCAGAGAAAUGGAAGAAGUGGAACUAUUUAUUGCUCUAAAGAUAUAAAAAUCUGUUCAUGUGGAUGGAAACACGUGUCCUCUUUGUUUCACUGAUUUCUCAUUCAAGUGCUGUUUCAGCGCAGCAUUACAGCGGGUGGAAAUCACAAUCUUCAUCAAACUUCAUCAUAAAACUGUAAAUCUGUUGCUGCCUAUAUACGCAAGAAGUCACAUCACAUUAAGAGUCCAAUCAGAAGCUGGUAAAAAUAAUAAAAUACAGAAAUUCCUACAUAAAUAGUGACGUAGGUGCUGUGGGACGGUGCAGAAUAACAUAAGUGCUCGCCAGCCUUCUAUAUCGGAAAAUAAUGAGAAUGAAAUUUCCUCAUUGUGGGUUGUUUAGUGUCCUGUUUUUUACUCCAUAAAAGAAGCAUUUUAGCUCCUGUCUCCUUAAGACCAGGUGGUUGAUUAUACUUUUAAUAUUUCAUAGGAACAGAGAGAAAAAGAUGCAUUUCAGUUUGUGGCUUUGUCAGUGUUUCUGAGCGUAAUUCUUAUUUAUAGCUUGUAAUUCUUCUUAUCAAGCCAGUGACAGGAGGAUCCAACCUGCGACAGUCUCCCAGGUAUGGAGAGAAAUUGAAGACACUAAAUGUGUGGAUCUACAUAAGGAUCUACCCCCGACAUCUGCCUGCAUAUGGAUUUGAAAACUGGUUUCCUCUCAUGGUUUUACAGUUCACACAUGGACAGUCCAGUUUCUUUUUGUUGUAACAACCUAACCUCCAGUCCACCCAGCAUUGUGUGUAUUAUCAUCAAUAUUCUCAUCAGCUUUUAAUGUGAAAACAUAACAGCUGGUUCUCACACAGAAAUUUACCAAAAAACGUGAACUGUGUGAAGCUUUUUUCAAAUAACUAAAUUACAGAGUCUAAAU
ensembl:lncRNA